ensembl:snoRNA SNORA74 Small nucleolar RNA SNORA74
UCCAGCAGUUGUCAGCUAUCUGGGCUAGUCUGAUGCCCAUGAUUGUGUUACACUGUUGGGAGAGCAAGCGCUGUCUUCAUCAAGGUUGGGUGUCACAAGCUGUUUUAGUGUUGUGGCCCAGUGCCUUCGGGCAGCGUUUUGUACUUCUGAGAGUGGACUGGCUCCUGCUGUGGAGUUGAUCCUAGUCUGGGUACAAACAUU